rnacentral:rRNA from 1 species
UACGUAGGGGGCAAGCGUUGUCCGGAAUCAUUGGGCGUAAAGAGCGUGUAGGCGGCCAGAUAAGUCCGCUGUGAAAUCUCGAGGCUCAACUUCGAGCUGUCGGUGGAAACUGUCUGGCUAGAGUCCGGAAGAGGAGAAUGGAAUUCCUGGUGUAGCGGUGAAAUGCGUAGAUAUCAGGAGGAACACCGGUGGCGAAGGCGGCCCUCUGGACGGUGACUGACGCUGAGACGCGAAAGCGUGGGGAGCAAACAGG